rnacentral:rRNA from 1 species
AACCUCCGCAAUGUGAGAAAUCGCGACGGGGGGAUCCCAAGUGCCAUUCUUAACGGGAUGGCUUUUCAUUAGUGUAAAGAGCUUUUGGAAUAAGAGCUGGGCAAGACCGGUGCCAGCCGCCGCGGUAACACCGGCAGCUCUAGUGGUAACAAUUUUUAUUGGGCCUAAAGCGUCCGUAGCCGGUUUAAUAAGUCUCUGGUGAAAUCCUGUAGCUUAACUGUGGGAAUUGCUGGAGAUACUAUUAGACUUGAGACCGGGAGAGGUUAGAGGUACUCCCAGGGUAGAGGUGAAAUUCUGUAAUCCUGGGAGGACCGCCUGUUGCGAAGGCGUCUAACUGGAACGGUUCUGACGGUGAGGGACGAAAGUUAGGGGCGCGAACCGGGAUUAGAUACCCGGGUAGUCCUAACUGUAAACGAUGCGGACUUGGUGUUGGGGUGGCUUUGAGCUGCUCCAGUGCCGAAGGGAAGCUGUUAAGUCCGCCGCCUGGGAAGUACGGUCGCAAGACUGAAACUUAAAGGAAUU